GAUGAACGCUGGCGGCGUGCCUAACACAUGCAAGUCGAGCGGACGCACGGGGUGCUUGCACCUUUUCGGCGAGCGGCGGACGGGUGAGUAACACGUGGGUACCUGCCCCAAAGGGAUGAAUUACUGCCCGGAAGGCUAACUAAAAACGCGUAAUGAGUUUGAAUCACAGGGUUCAUCCGCUUUAGGAGGGUCUGGUGUCGUAUUAGUUGGUUGGCGAGGUAAUGGAUUAAAAAGCUGACGAUACGAAGCUGACCUGAGAGGAUGAUCGGCCACACUGGAACUGAGACACGGUCCAGAGUCCUAAGGGAGGCAGCAGUAGGGAAUCUUACGCAAUGGGGGAAAGCCUGAUCGAGCAAAGCGGGGGGAGUGAUGAAGGUCUUCGGAUGGUAAAACGCUGUAAGUCGGGAGGAAGAAAAGUGCAUGUAUAAGUGAACGUUUUGACGGUACCUAAUGAAUAAGCAACGGCUAACUACGUG
rnacentral:rRNA from 1 species